rnacentral:rRNA from 1 species
GGACGAACGCUGGCGGCGUGCCUAAUACAUGCAAGUCGAACGGCUUUUCUAUGGAAGCUUGCUUCCACUGAGAAGAUAGUGGCGAACGGGUGAGUAACACGUGGGUAACCUGCCCAUAAGAGGGGGAUAACAUCCGGAAACGGGUGCUAAUACCGCAUAGUUUUCUUGAUCGCAUGAUCGGGAAAGGAAAGACGGCCUUUGUGCUGUCGCUUAUGGAUGGACCCGCGGCGUAUUAGUUAGUUGGUGAGGUAACGGCUCACCAAGACGAUGAUACGUAGCCGACCUGAGAGGGUGAUCGGCCACAUUGGGACUGAGACACGGCCCAAACUCCUACGGGAGGCAGCAGUAGGGAAUCUUCCGCAAUGGACGAAAGUCUGACGGAGCAACGCCGCGUGAGUGAAAGAAGGUUUUCGGACCGUAAAACUCUGUUGUCAGAGAAGAACAAGUUGGAGAGUAACUGCUCCAGCCUUGACGGUAUCUGACCAGAAAGCCACGGCUAACUACGUGCCAGCCGCAGC